ACAUCCAUGUCGUGCUACCUAAGAGGAUGUGCAAUUUUGAAUAAAACCAUACAGUGGAAAUUAUUCUACUUCAGUUCGCUCACUGCAAUUGUUUAAAGAAGAACGUCCAUUUCUACAGCAUCGAAUAUGAAGAGUAUUAUGAUCACGGUUGUAUUGUUGGCGGUGGUUAUCUUAGCAAUCAACCUUAAUUCUGUUGAGGGUGGAUUCAGCUUGGGUUGCACGCUGUCCUGUACGAUAUGGAAUGGGUGUCGGGUGCGCGCUGCCAUUAAUGGUAAUCUUAGCGGUUGUGGAUCAGAACCUUCGGGUUGCCGCUGUACCCAAUUUGCAUGGGAGAAGUAACUUGAGUUAAGCUUUUAUUGUGCCUGACGAAGACGAAGUUUUAUUUUCUUUUGCUUUUGCUAUGUCAAAAUGCUGCAGUUUUAUAGCAGUGUGUUAAUAAAGUAGACAAUAAAAGUGCAACAUUA